GUUGAAGAACGCAGCGAAAUGCGAUACGUAAUGUGAAUUGCAGAAUUCAGUGAAUCAUCGAAUCUUUGAACGCAUAUUGCGCUCUCUGGUAUUCCGGAGAGCAUGCUUGUUUGAGUAUCAGUAAACACCUCAACUCCCUUUUCUUUUUUGAAAUGGGAGCUGGACUUGAGUGAUCCCAACACUUUUCUCACUGGAAAGUGGCGGGUCACUUGAAAUGCAGGUGCAGCUGGACUUUUCUCUGAGCUAUAAGCAUAUCUAUUUAGUCUGCCUAAAAAACAGAUUAUUACCUUUGCUGCAGCUAACAUAAAGGAGAUGAGUUCUUGUGCUGACUGAUGCAGGAUUCACAGAGACAGCUUUGCGGCUGACUUUGUAAACUCGAUCUCAAAUCAAGUAAGACUACCCGCUGAACUUAAGCAUAUCAAUAAGCGGAGGA
rnacentral:misc_RNA from 1 species